rnacentral:rRNA from 1 species
GAUGAACGCUAGCGGCAGGCUUAAUACAUGCAAGUCGUGGGGCAGCAUGACUGUAGCAAUACAGUCGAUGGCGACCGGCAAACGGGUGCGGAACACGUACACAACCUUCCUUUAAGUGGGGAAUAGCCCAGAGAAAUUUGGAUUAAUACCCCGUAACAUAUAGAAGUGGCAUCGCUUUUAUAUUAUAGCAGCAAUGCGCUUGAAGAUGGGUGUGCGGCUGAUUAGAUAGUUGGCGGGGUAACGGCCCACCAAGUCGACGAUCAGUAACUGGUGUGAGAGCACGACCAGUCACACGGGCACUGAGACACGGGCCCGACUCCUACGGGAGGCAGCAGUAAGGAAUAUUGGUCAAUGGACGCAAGUCUGAACCAGCCAUGCCGCGUGGAGGAUGAAGGUCCUCUGGAUUGUAAACUUCUUUUAUUUGGGAAGAAAUCUAUCUUUUCUUGGAUAGUUGACGGUACCAGAUGAAUAAGCACCGGCUAACUCCGUGCCAGCCGCCGCAGUAAAAC